rnacentral:rRNA from 1 species
CUGCCUCAUACAGGGGGAUAACAGUUAGAAAUGACUGCUAAUACCGCAUAAGCGCACGGUGUCGCAUGACACAGUGUGAAAAGCCGAGACGGUAUGAGAUGGACCCGCGUCUGAUUAGCUAGUUGGCGGGGUAACGGCCCACCAAGGCGACGAUCAGUAGCCGGCCUGAGAGGGUGGACGGCCACAUUGGGACUGAGACACGGCCCAAACUCCUACGGGAGGCAGCAGUGGGGAAUAUUGCACAAUGGGGGAAACCCUGAUGCAGCGACGCCGCGUGAAGGAAGAAGUAUUUCGGUAUGUAAACUUCUAUCAGCAGGGAAGAAAAUGACGGUACCUGACUAAGAAGCCCCGGCUAACUACGUGCCAGCAGCCGCGGUAAUACGUAGGGGGCAAGCGUUAUCCGGAUUUACUGGGUGUAAAGGGAGCGUAGGCGGUCUGACAAGUCAGAGGUGAAAGCCCGGGGCUCAACUCCGGGACUGCCUUUGAAACUGCCGGACUAGAUUGCAGGAGAGGCAAGUGGAAUUCCUAGUGUAGCGGUGAAAUGCGUAGAUAUUAGGAGGAACACCAGUGGCGAAGGCGGCUUACUGGACAGUAACUGACGUUGAGGCUCGAAAGCGUGGGGAGCAAACAGGAUUAGAUACCCUGGUAGUCCACGCCGUAAACGAUGACUGCUAGGUGUCGGGUGGCAAAGCCAUUCGGUGCCGCAGCAAACGCAAUAAGCA